ensembl:lncRNA
GAUGUACCCAGAAAAUAUUCAUAUUAUACAGGCAGAAAGGAUUGGUCUUGGCACAGCAAUUGUGGGGAUUUAAGGAUAUGCUAAACUGAUAACUGCAGAAUGAGCUCUGACAUAGGAUAUUGGUCUCCUCCUGUUACCUAAAUGCCAGGUGAAACCAAAGGAUUUCUAGAAGGGUCUGAAACCAUUGUCUUGAGUGGCUGAUACCAUACAAAGAAGAAUUGUUGAGAUGCCUGAAACCUAAUUACUUGAAGAGCCCCCUCCAUAGGUGUUAUCUUUUAUCAGUGCCUUCAGUGGUGCAACUGGACACUGGUUGGCUUUGCUUUAGGACAUUAUUUGAGAUAUGGCUAAGCUGAUAUUAACACAAAUCAUAACCCCAUUGCAACUUUUCUGUGUAUUCAGAAACAUCUGCCAUAGUUGCAUCAUUCCCCAUCUUUAAGAUGUCCUGUUUUGCUAUAAGUAAAAUGUAUUUCAGGCUCUCUGGUCCUGUAAGAAACAAUCCUUUAGAUUUCUACAUGCAACCUUGCUCCCAAUGUAGGUAAAGUAGGAAGAGGAGUGGAGAAGGACCCAAAGACCACAAGUAGGAACUGUGGGAUUGCUCCAGUUUCUAUGUUUAAGGUCUAAAGGUUUUGGGAAGAGAGAGAGAGAGAAGCCAGCAAGUGAAAAUGAUGAAGCUCUACACACUUCCAUCAUUAGCUUGGUCAGAAAUUGGAGGCUGAGAACUGGUGUGACUUGGGUGCACUAUUUAUUUGUAUAGGCAAAGGCAAGCCUCAUAUCCCCUCCUUUUAAGUUUGUAGGUAACAUCAUGGAACUGAGGACUACGUUUGGGUUCCAAGACUGCAGUGUCACACACCAUAGGAAACUAAUCUUUGAAUCUAUGCUUUUCAGUUUUACUUUUUUUCUCCCAGUUUCUGAUGAGGAUUUGCUGUAAGUGACUCAUAGUGAAAAAUAAGAUUUUACUAUUAAUCAGGAAGGAUAGACAAGUCCUCAAAGUCUCCCUGGAAAUUGCUGUCUUGCAUAGGACCUAUUGAGUCCAACAGUGCUGGUGGACUUUCAGGCAGCAGUGCUAAAUCAGUGUCUUUUAUCAUCUAUAGCUACAUAAAAGACUGCGACUUCUCCUUCCUAAUGAGAGACUUCUGUAAUGCUCUCUGCUUAGGGCUAUUCUUGAGGAAUAAGGAAUCCAAGACAGAUGUGGCAGUGACCAUCAUAUUAAUCUCAAAGACCAAAUCCCUCAAAGCAAAGGAAAUAUGAACAAUUAAAACAAUAAAUACACUGAAUCAUAGGAAUUUCCAGGGCCCUCAGUACUAACUCCAGUUCCACACAUUAAUUUGUAAUUCUUGAGCCAUGAAAAAGUAAAUCCUCUUUUGUUUAGAGAACAAGAUUAAAAUGCUACUAAUAUUGAAACCACUCCUGUUUGCUGGCUCAUGUGUCUAUUUAAAUACCUGCCUAUUUCUUUGCUUCACCUUGAGUGUCAAACUUGUCCUCUUGAUAAUACCAGCUGAAUGGCAGCCAGCUGGCUGAACGGUGUAGGUAGAUACCUAGAGAAGUGCUUUGCGAAGGGCUGAGCUGUAGGUAAGCAAAUUUUGUUAUCAAGAUAGUAUAAUCCUUUGAAGUGGCUCUGGAUUAUUGAACACUUUACAGCAAGGUAACACUUCGGUGACUUCAAGAUAUAUUUACACUCUUGUGUAAUCUAUGCACUGGACAUCACAUCAUGAAGGAGAAAUCUCUGAAUGUAGUUUAUUCAAAAUACAUCACUAGAAACAUCCUUUUUGCAGUUAACUGGUCAUACAGGCACAGGAACUUUGGAGGUGAAGUCUAUAGCACUUUUGUCUCCUUGUGUGGUUUCUUUUCUUUUUCAAAACAGGUUUUGAAGAUCUGCAGGAGUCUUAGUUGAUCAAAAAACCCAACACAGAAGAAUGCAGAAAAAGGAAAAGACCUUUAAGAUCAUUGAGUCCAGCCAUUAACCCACCGCUGCCAAGUCCAGCACUAAACUAUGUCCCCAAACGCCACAUCUGCAUCUCAAAUCCCUCCAGGGAUGACGACUCCACCACUUCCCUGGACAUCCUGUUCCGGUGCAACCCUUUUGGUGAAGGAAUUGUUCCUAAUCUCCAAUCUAAACUUUUUCUGGUGCAACUUGGGGCAAUUUCCUCUUGUCCUAUCCCUUGUUACUUUAGAGAAGAGUCCAACCACCACCUGGCUACAACCUCCUUUCAGGUAGUUGUAAUCUAUUUAAUAAAAUCCUUGCAA